rnacentral:rRNA from 1 species
GACGAACGCUGGCGGCGUGCCUAAUACAUGCAAGUCGAGCGGACCGAAGGGAGCUUGCUCCUUUAGGUUAGCGGCGGACGGGUGAGUAACACGUGGGCAACCUGCCCUGCAGACUGGGAUAACUACCGGAAACGGUAGCUAAUACCGGAUAAUUUCUUUCCUCUCCUGAAGAGAGAAUGAAAGGCGGAGCAAUCUGCUACUUGGGGAUGGGCCUGCGGCGCAUUAGCUAGUUGGUGGGGUAACGGCCCACCAAGGCGACGAUGCGUAGCCGACCUGAGAGGGUGAACGGCCACACUGGGACUGAGACACGGCCCAG